GUGACAUCCCAAGUUUUUUAACAAAACCCUUUGCCUUCAGUCUACAUUGGAACAAAGUGUAUAGACAAUUUAAUGUUCAUGUGCUUGCAUAUUCAGGCUUAAACCAAGUGAAAUGAAGGAAAAUGAUUCAUAUAUUUGAUCCCAAUUAGUUUCAGAUAAAGCUUAGUUGAGUUGUAUAUGCCAUGCAUGUACAAAUUUGCACUGUAACAACAGAUCUAGAAACUCUUUCAAUUGGCUAUACCUGGAUAGUGACCACAUUCUCCA
rnacentral:misc_RNA from 1 species